CCUCACUAAGUGCAUCUGGAAACAGCUGUAUAGAUGUUAAACCAGUUACAUGAAACAGCCCUCACUAAGUGCAUCUGGAAACAGCUGUAUAGAUGUUAAACCAGUAACAUUAGACAGUUGUUACUAAGCGCUUCUGAAAAUAGCUGUAUAGAUGCUAAACUAGACACAUGGAACACAUCUGCUAGUUGACUUUUAUGAUUGAAAGAACAUUUCGUGAAGCUACAGGUCUCCUAGUUGUUGAAUUCAUGAUGAAAUGGGUUUUUGUAGUAGACAGUAAUUGAAUAUUCAUGCAUCCUUACCUGUAUGUUGAGAUGCAUCACAUGUUGACGGACAUAUUCAUGAAUGGCCAAUAUGCCUGUAUGUUGAGAUGCAUCACAUGUUGACGGACAUAUUCAUGAAUGGCCAAUAUGCCUGUAUGUUGAGAUGCAUCACAUGUUGACGGACAUAUUCAUGAAUGGCCAAUAUACCUGUAUGUUGAGAUGCAUCACAUGUUGACGGACAUAUUCAUGAAUGGCCAAUAUGCCUGUAUGUUGAGAUGCAUCACAUGUUGACGGACAUAUUCAUGAAUGGCAAAAUACCUGUAUGUUGAGAUGCAGAUAUUCAUGUACCUGGGUAUGUCCAGAUCGUUAUGUACAUAUUUAAGUGCAUCAAUUGUUGACAAAUAUGACACACUAAUCAACAAUAAAUAAAUAUUACUUUACAGUACAUCACCAAUGGGUGGUGUAUGAUCUUCAACACAACCAAAUGUUUUGAUAUUUGUUUAUUCAUACAUCUGUAUAUUAUCACAAAUUUACAGUUUCUUGUAAAAAGAGGUGUGGAAACAAUUGCACAUUUUCAGCAAUGUGAGACAUUCCAUAUUUACAAAAUUACAUCACAAAGGGAAACAAUAUUAUGUGUGUGGAACCUGUGUUUGUUUCAUGUUCAUUCUAGGAUUAAAAUUGUUACAGCUGUUCA